rnacentral:rRNA from 1 species
ACGUACACUCCUGCGGGAGGCAGCAGUGGGGAAUAUUGCACAAUGGGCGCAAGCCUGAUGCAGCCAUGUCGCGUGUAUGAAGAAGGCCUUCGGGUUGUAAAGUACUUUCAGCGGGGAGGAAGGCGAUAAGGUUAAUAACCUUGUUGAUUGACGUUACCCGCAGAAGAAGCACCGGCUAACUCCGUGCCAGCAGCCGCGGUAAUACGGAGGGUGCAAGCGUUAAUCGGAAUUACUGGGCGUAAAGCGCACGCAGGCGGUCUGUCAAGUCGGAUGUGAAAUCCCCGGGCUCAACCUGGGAACUGCAUUCGAAACUGGCAGGCUAGAGUCUUGUAGAGGGGGGUAGAAUUCCAGGUGUAGCGGUGAAAUGCGUAGAGAUCUGGAGGAAUACCGGUGGCGAAGGCGGCCCCCUGGACAAAGACUGACGCUCAGGUGCGAAAGCGUGGGGAGCAAACAGGAUUAGAAACCCCGGUAGUCCCAUG